UCCCUCAUAGCUCAGUCAGUAAAGAAUCUGCCUGCAAUACAGGAGACCCAGGUUCAAUUCCUGGCUUGGGAA
rnacentral:tRNA from 1 species